CCGAGCCGAGCCGUGCCGAGCCGGCGGGGCGGCCAUGCGGCCCCCCCGCGCCCGCUGAGCACCGCGCGGGGCGCGCCCGCCCAGCCGCCCCCUCCGCGCCCGCGGAGCCGCCCCCUCCGCCCGCCCGCCCGCGCCGAGCCGCGCCGCGCCGGGGCUGGCGGUCUCCGCAGCGGGAGGAGGAGGAAGAGGAGGAAGGAUCCAGGGUGUCUGCGGAGCGCGGGGGGCUGAGGACCACCCGCCUCCCUCUGCGCGGGCGCCUUUGUGUCCCCCAGCCCCGGCGGAGCGAGGGGCCGCGGGCAGGGGAGCGGAUGCGAAGAGCGGCUGGUGCUGGAGGGGAGAGAGAGAAAGGGGGAUGGUGGAAGAUUUCUCUCCUUUUUUAUUUUUUUUUUUGGUGGUCUCUUCGGCAGCGGCUGUUCUUCCCCAGCAGCAGCAGCAGCAGCGGCGGCAGCAGCGGCAGCAGCAGCACAGGCAAUGACUCUGCCGCAUCCGAAUCGCCUGGCCGGUGUCGCCGGCUCUGGAGACAUCACCUUGCCCUGAAGUUGCCCACCUGGAGGAGGUAAAUCGGAGCGGGGCUUUCGUCCAGAGGGGUCGGCGACGGCGGGGAAGAGGCGGGAGCGAUCGCCUCCCCCAUCCCCACACACUCUCGUCCUCCGGGAGGAAGCUUGUGUAGCAGAAGAACACGGCAAAAAAGGAAAGACUUUUACUUCUUUCUAUUUUUUUUAAAUUUUUUUUUAAAUUUUUCCUCGCUUGAGGGACGUCCGUGCUUCUCGUCCGGCCCCUUUUCCUCCUGGCUGGGGGCUUUGGUACUGUGGCCAGGUCUGCUUCUUACUCCCACCCCUGGUUUUAAUGGCUGGAUUGUGGCAGCAGCUCCCUGCUGCAGGUUGUUGAGGAUCUGAUGGGGACUCGCAUCUCAGGAGCCGGAGGUGACUAAAGAAAUGUUGAAUUCAGUACUCUGCAAAAAAUAACGUGUGGAUUUCUCGAACCUGAAGAACAAGAAAAGGUCUCAGACUCUGGAUACUUCCUGUGGGAUUUUUUUUAUUAUUAUUGUUUUUGAUUGGGUUUUUUCCCCCUUUUUGGAUGUGAAUUGAAGGCCAACAACAGUUGAAGUGUUGGAAGCAAGUGCAGGAGGACGCUCACCUUUUUAUUUGAACCCUUGUUUGCUGGGAUACUUUCAAGCUCUCCUUCACAGUCAUGUGGUCAUCACAGCUGCUGUUCUUCACAAUGCUCUUAACACCGUUUGCCCAUGCCUGGAUUUCUUUUAAAACAGCUUUCAGCCGUGCCCCAGUGCCCAUGGCUGUGGUCCGAAGGGAGCUGUCCUGCGAGAGUUACCCCAUCGAGCUGCGCUGCCCGGGAACAGAUGUUAUCAUGAUCGAAAGUGCCAACUACGGCAGGACUGAUGAUAAAAUCUGUGACUCUGAUCCUGCUCAGAUGGAGAAUAUCCGCUGUUAUCUGCCAGAUGCCUAUAAGAUUAUGACUCAAAGAUGCAGUAAUCGGACCCAGUGUGCGGUUGUUGCCGGCCCUGAUGUGUUCCCAGACCCGUGCCCCGGGACGUACAAGUACCUGGAAGUGCAGUAUGAGUGUGUCCCUUACAAAGUGGAACAAAAAGUUUUUCUUUGCCCUGGACUGCUGAAAGGAGUUUACCAGAGCGAACACUUAUUCGAGUCUGACCACCAGUCGGGCGCCUGGUGCAAGGACCCUCUGCAGGCCUCUGACAAGAUCUACUACAUGCCCUGGACGCCGUACCGGACAGACACACUGACGGAAUACUCCUCCAAGGACGACUUCAUCGCCGGGAGGCCGACCACCACCUACAAGCUCCCGCACCGGGUGGACGGCACGGGCUUCGUGGUGUACGACGGGGCUCUGUUCUUCAACAAGGAGCGCACCAGGAACAUCGUCAAGUUCGACCUGCGGACCAGGAUAAAGAGCGGGGAGGCAAUCAUAGCCAACGCCAACUACCACGACACCUCUCCCUACCGCUGGGGAGGCAAGUCCGACAUCGACCUGGCCGUGGAUGAGAACGGGCUCUGGGUAAUCUAUGCAACAGAACAAAAUAAUGGCAAAAUAGUCAUUAGCCAGUUGAACCCUUACACGUUAAGGAUCGAAGGGACGUGGGAUACUGCCUAUGACAAGAGGUCAGCUUCUAAUGCCUUCAUGAUCUGUGGGAUUUUAUAUGUGGUGAAGUCUGUGUACGAAGACGACGACAACGAAGCCACAGGGAAUAAAAUAGACUACAUAUAUAAUACUGACCAAAGCAAGGAUAGCAUGGUGGAUGUGCCCUUUCCAAACUCCUACCAGUACAUUGCUGCUGUGGAUUAUAAUCCCCGGGACAACCUCCUGUAUGUAUGGAACAACUAUCAUGUUGUAAAAUACUCCUUGGAUUUUGGCCCGCUGGACAGCAGAGCAGGGCAGGCUCACCACGGGCAAGUUUCCUACAUUGCCCCACCGAUCCACCUGGAUUCGGAUCUGGAGAGACCGUCAUCCAAGGGAGUAUCAACGUCAGGGGCUCUGGGCCCGGGGAGCACCCCUGCCAGCACCACGCCGCGGGCGGCCACCAGCACCACGGGCCGCAGCACCACCACGUCGGCCUCGGGCAGGAGGAACAGGAGCACCAGCACGCCGUCCCCCAUGGCCGACGUCCCCGAGGAAAUGACCACGCACCUGCCGCCCGCCUCCUCCCAGCUGCCGCCGGCCGGGGCCGAGAGCUGCGACCCCACGGAAGCGCGCGACAUUAUGUGGUCCCGGACUCGGCAGGGCCAGCUGGCGAAGCAGCCGUGUCCCUUGGGCUCCAUAGGUGUUGCAACUUUCCGGUGUCUUGCACCUGACGGUAUCUGGGAACCCCAAGGACCUGAUCUUAGCAACUGCUCUUCACCCUGGAUCAACCACAUCACUCAAAAGAUGAGGUCGGGGGAGAUGGCUGCCAACAUCGCGCGGGAGCUGGCAGAGCACACCAGGAACCACCUGUACGCCGGGGACAUCGCCUACUCCGUGUCCGCCAUGGUCCAGCUCGUCAACCUGCUGGACGUGCAGCUCCGCAACCUGACUCCCGGCGGGAAGGACAGCGCCGCGCGCAGCUUGAAUAAGCUUCAGAAAAGGGAGCGCUCUUGCAGGGCCUAUGUACAGGCCAUGGUGGAGACGGUGAACAACCUCCUGCAGCCUCAGGCUCUGAACGCCUGGAGGGACCUGAACGCGAGCGAGCAGCAGCGCGCGGCCACCAAGCUGCUGGACACGGUGGAGGACAGUGCCUUCGUGCUGGCUGACAACCUGCUGAAGACAGACAUCGUCCGGGAGAACACUGACAACAUCCAGCUGGAAGUUGCGAGACUAAGCACAGAUGGGAAUCUGGAAGAUCUGAAGUUUCCCCAGAACAUGGGCCAUGGAAGCGCCAUUCAGCUGUCAGCAAAUACCUUGAAGCAGAAUGGUCGAAAUGGUGAGAUCAGGGUGGCUUUUGUGCUAUACAACAACCUGGGCACCUAUCUCUCCACGGAGAAUGCCAGCAUGAAGUUGGGAACAGAAGCGAUGUCAACCAAUCACUCCGUCAUUGUCAACUCCCCUGUCAUCACGGCAGCAAUAAAUAAAGAGUUCAGCAAUAAGGUUUACCUGGCUGAUCCUGUGGUGUUUACUGUCAAGCACAUCAAGCAGUCAGAAGAAAAUUUUAACCCAAACUGUUCAUUCUGGAGCUACACGAAGCGUACGAUGACAGGGUAUUGGUCCACCCAGGGCUGUCGUCUCCUGACAACUAACAAGACACACACCACGUGCUCCUGCAACCACCUCACCAACUUUGCAGUCCUGAUGGCACAUGUGGAAGUUAAGCACAGCGAUGCGGUCCAUGACCUGCUCCUGGACUUCAUCACAUGGGUUGGCAUCCUGCUUUCACUGGUCUGCCUCCUGAUCUGCAUCUUCACCUUCUGCUUCUUCCGUGGACUGCAGAGCGACCGCAACACCAUUCACAAGAACUUGUGCAUCAGCCUCUUCGUGGCAGAGCUCCUCUUCCUCAUCGGCAUCAACCGGACUGACCAGCCGAUUGCCUGUGCCGUCUUUGCUGCCCUCCUGCACUUCUUCUUCCUGGCAGCUUUCACCUGGAUGUUCCUGGAGGGGGUACAGCUGUACAUCAUGCUUGUGGAGGUUUUUGAGAGCGAGCACUCCCGGAGGAAGUAUUUCUAUUUGGUGGGCUACGGCAUGCCUGCGCUGAUUGUGGCCGUGUCGGCAGCAGUGGACUACCGGAGCUACGGCACGGACAAAGUAUGUUGGCUCCGACUUGACACCUACUUCAUUUGGAGCUUUAUAGGACCGGCGACCUUGAUAAUUAUGCUUAAUGUCAUCUUCCUUGGGAUUGCUCUCUAUAAAAUGUUUCAUCAUACUGCCAUACUGAAACCUGAAUCUGGAUGUCUUGACAAUAUCAACUAUGAGGAUAACAGACCCUUCAUCAAGUCCUGGGUUAUAGGUGCAAUAGCCCUACUCUGCCUAUUAGGACUGACCUGGGCAUUCGGACUCAUGUAUAUUAAUGAAAGCACAGUCAUCAUGGCGUAUCUCUUCACCAUAUUCAAUUCUCUGCAGGGAAUGUUUAUAUUCAUUUUCCAUUGUGUCCUCCAGAAAAAGGUACGGAAAGAGUACGGAAAAUGCCUGCGCACGCAUUGCUGUAGUGGGAAAAGUACAGAGAGUUCCAUUGGCUCAGGAAAAACCUCGGGGUCAAGGACACCUGGAAGAUAUUCCACAGGCUCACAGAGCCGGAUUCGUAGGAUGUGGAAUGACACAGUUCGAAAGCAGUCCGAGUCUUCCUUUAUUACUGGAGAUAUAAACAGUUCAGCUUCACUCAACAGAGGAGACAGCUUUGUUUCCUUAUUUUCAAACACAGCAGUUCAUCUUGCUUUCCAUCAGCAUAGACAAAAAUAUCAGGAGCCAUGGCUAAUCAUCUUAUAACCAAUGCUCUGCUUCGUCCUCAUGGCACUAACAACCCUUAUAAUACAUUGCUCGGGGAAUCGGCGGUCUAUAACAACCCUUCUGUCAGCAUGUACAACGCACAAGAAGGCGUAAGGACGCCCAAGCAGGAGCCGGUCUUCAGGCGAGUCACCAUGGAGGACAGUGUCAUCUAGCGCCUGGGGACGCCGUGAGCCUGCCCCGGCCAGCCCGUGCCAGUGCACCCUCACUCCUCUGUGCCUCAGCCCACCCGUCCCUCACUUGGGAUCGCGCUACAGGAGAGGCCGGAGAAGCUGGCCUCGACCAAACCCUCAGCAAACCCUUGCAUCCCCAAGGAGAGAACAGCCCAGCUGAGAUUCCCACUGCCCCGUGCAUGGCAGCCCCUGGGAUGUGCCCUCGGUGUUUGGCCGCUCGUCUCUUUUUCGAAGAUGAGCAGAACAGGUGAAAAUUGUCUUUUGUAAUAAGAAAUCAGUUUCACCUGCUGCAAACAUUGACUUUGCAAUUUGAUAACAUUUAAAAAAUGGCUGAGUGUGCUUAAUCCACCAUCCUGAGCCUCUCUCCAUGCUCUCAGGCUGGGCUGUGUAAAGGGGAACCUGCCGGAUCCAGGUUGCUGUUGUAAAUACAGACCUGUCAGUGCGAAGAGCCAACAAGGGAAGGACCAGAGGGACAGAGAAGUAGUCCUUACACCAGAAGAAGCUGAACGUGCCAGCAGAGUACUGUCAAGAGAAGCUGUUGCUUGUAAAUAGGGACAGGCGCAUGUGUCCAGCAGCAGCUCCACUUGGCCAAAGCUUCUCGGGGGAAAGCUGCUCAGAUUUUAUUGUCUUGUGUAAAUAGAAGUAUUUUUUUGAGAAAAAAAAAAAUGAGCCUUAGUAUCUUGAAGAUAGCGUUUCUCAAUCAGCUCAGCUGGGGAUGGAAAUAUGGGAACCCACGGGAUCUGCCUGCUGGAGGCUGGCGUGGGCUCCCGCAGCCAAGCUCUGCCAUCGCCGCAGGUGCAGGAGACACCUGAAGGAGGAUGGACCUGUCCAGCAGAGGAUUCAGCAGACAUUUCUCCCUAGUCCCUGUCAACAGGGUGAACUCAUCGGUCCCAUGGUCUCCGCUGAUGUAAAUAAUCAGCUAUAGCCCACAGAGGACUUGGACUGCUUGGUGCAGUUGUGGGAGGAGGGAGGGUGGGAUGGGCAGAAAUCAUCAGAGGGAUGCAAACCCCAUCAGCGUGGUGAUCCCCAGGCUUUUAGCAUUAGUUUAAAAAAAAAAAAAAAAGGAAAAAAGAAAAAAAAACAAACCCUGAAAGCUUCUUAAUGGCUUUGGGCCAACUGUUCGGCUGGGUAAAUGGAGGCAUGCCUAGACAUGUUCUGUGUUCAUGUCAGCCAGUGCCUGUCUGUGCAGUUCUCUGUCUGUGCAAACGCGUGUGCAAGGCUGUGUCUGGUCUGGGGGGCUGCCAGCCAGUGCAGGUCCCUGUGUCUGUGUAGCUGUGUCCAUGAGAGAGCAGAGAAGAUGGAUGUGUGUGUUGUACUGCCCUGUAUCCACCCAAACACAUUUGAGGAGUUGUAACGCUGCUAGGUCCAGCUUUAGUAGCAGGAGUGCGGAGUAGUGUCCACACCUCUCCAGGGAAUGAGGCUUGGCAGGCAGGGGGGUGGUGUUAGCUGAGUGAGAGCUGAUAAAUCUCUGCUCUGCAUUGAGUUGUCAUCCCCUGUCCCCUGCUGUGGCACAGCAGUGCUCGUCUGCAAACACCGCCAGCAGAACAGGGCUGCACUCCAGCUUGGGCGCUGGCAGGACGGUACCUCCUGGAAGCUGGACAGGAGCUUUGGGACUUCCCUUUCAUCAUUCACCACCCAAAGCUUACUUAUGCCUUAUUUACUCUUGAGUCUAGCUGUUCGGCUUCAUGCAGUGCGGGGAAAUUAGGAAAAGAGAAUGAAAUUAGAAACUGAAAUUAAGAAAAAGCCCAUACAUGAGAAGAAAACAGAUAAAUUUGAAAAGUACCCCCAAUAACUUUCUCUGGACAUAGAAGUCUCUCUUCAGCUUAGCAUUUUGCAGGAAAGCAAUGCCAAGGUGAAGUGUCUUCCCCAUGAAAAAGCCAGAUAGCAUGAAACAACUGUUGCACUAUUUAGCACAGCACUGGGGCCAAAGCCCCUUUACCUUUGCAAGGAAUGGGCAGUGGGCAAUCAACAGAAAUUGGAAGCUGCCUCAAAUUCCUGAGGGGUGUAGGCAUGUAGAGUGGUAAUUUGCUUGCAGUGGUCCAAGGUGAGCUGCAGGGAGUUUUUUCCACUUGAAUACUUGAAUACCUCCUGUCAUCCAGCUGUGUGUGUUACCAUUAACACCUAAAAACUGCCAGUGCCAAGUGAUUUAUAUAUUUAUCAGGACAUUUUUUAAUUUAUCAAACCAGUGCAUGGGAGGCACUGUGCUUUCAUCUGCCACAUGUGGACACCUCUUCCUUUGCCCACUUCUCCAGCCUUGUAUAGUUUUCCCAGGCAAGGUGACCAUCAUCUUGGGGAUGUGGUUUCCUCCCCAGUGAAGGCUGUUAACCUUUCUUCCAGGGAGAAAAAUAGUGAAAGAUAUGAACAACACACGCUGACUUUGUGCUAGAAAUGUGCUGAAAGUCAGCCAGUGUAUUAAGCAAAAUAAGUAACUCCAAAAUGUUUGAAAGUUCACGAUCUUUCACAGAUAUGAGGGGACCAUUCUAGUGGUUUCUAGGGCCCCAAAGGGCAAUGCUAAAUCCCGAACCCAAGGCUUCCUGACCCUGGGGAGGUUUGAGGUGCAGCAUGGGGAAAACUUAGGGGCAGCAAUUACAGGAAAGAAAAUAUUCCCUGGUUUUAUUAGAUUGCAGGAAAGCAGAACUCCCCUAGUUGGGUUGAGUGGUGGAUUUUUUUUCAUUGGAGCACUCACUAUUAGUUCCUCUUCCCAGACAAUCCCAUCAUCCUGUAUUUUAAACCCUUUCCUUUAUGUCUAGAAGUUAUUCUUGGAGGUGUUUACAACAACCUUCAAAGUUUCUCUCUCUCUCCAACCCUAAAAGAGGCUGACACCCCACAACUGACAGUUGUGAAGAUGAGCCAGACCAACCCCAAGUCCUAAUAAAAAUGAUGAAUCCAAUCCACUGCAUCCAUAUUGAUGGCACACAGGUCACACAUGGAGAUGAGCAGUGAGGAGGGGGAGGCAGAUAAUCACUGAAAAUUGUGUGUGGGAGGUGCUGUUACCAAACCCACCUGGCAGAGUUUUGAUUUAAUCCAGCCCUGAGUCAAUACUGAUUGACAUUUCACUUGCUUUCCAUAUUGUAACUGGACUUCCUUACUCCUCAGGCAUGGAAUGAAUCUUAAUACAUUGUAAUUACUGUACUCCUGGUGGUGAACUGGUAUGAAAAGCUAUCACAAAAAGCAUUAAUAAAAUGUACAUUAUGAAAAAGAA